UGGCUACCAACAGUUUAUGCCUACCCAUU
rnacentral:piRNA from 1 species